rnacentral:rRNA from 1 species
GACGAACCGUGCAAACGUUGUUCGGAAUCACUGGGCUUAAAGGGCGCGUAGGCGGGUUCCCAAGUCGGUGGUGAAAUCUUUCGGCCCAACCGGAAAAGGGCCGCCGAUACUGGGAGUCUCGAGGGAGGUAGGGGUCGAUGGAACUUCCGGUGGAGCGGUGAAAUGCGUAGAUAUCUGGAGGAACACCGGUGGCGAAGGCGGCAUCCUGGACCGGCAUUGACGCUGAGGCGCGAAAGCCAGGGGAGCAAACGGG